GCCUCUUUGGCUCAGUCGGUUAGAGCGCAAGUCUCAUAAUCUUGAGGUCGAAAGUUCGAAUCUUUCAAGUGGCA
rnacentral:tRNA from 1 species